rnacentral:rRNA from 1 species
GACAGAGGCCCCAAGCGUUAGGCGGAAUCACUGGGCUUAAAGCGCGUGUAGGCGGACGCCUAAGUGUCUUGUGAAAUCCCACGGCUCACCCGUGGAACUGCUGGGCAUACUGGGCGUCUUGGGCCAACUAGGGGCAGCCGGAACAAGCGGUGGAGCGGUGAAAUGCGUAGAUAUCGCUUGGAACGCCGAAGGUGAAAACAGGCUGCUGGGGUUGUGCCGACGCUGAGACACGAAAGCCAGGGGAGCAAACGGG